rnacentral:rRNA from 1 species
AGCCAAUCCCAUAAACCUUCUCAGUUCGGAUUGUAGGCUGCAACUCGCCUACAUGAAGCUGGAACGCUAGUAAUCGCGGAUCAGCAUGCCGCGGUGAAUACGUUCCCGGGCCUUGUACACACCGCCCGUCACACCACGAGAGUUUGUAACACCCGAAGUCGGUGGAGUUAACCGUAAGGAGCUAGCC